AGGGUAAAUGUUCAAGAAACUCUUCUCCAAAUCCAAAUUCCACUUGGAUUCCACUCCGGGAGGAAAGUCCAUGUGAAGACACAAUGAGAAGGCAAGAAGGCAUCCAUCUGCAAGCCAGGAAAAGAGCCCUCAUCAGAAACCAAAUGUUGUGAGAACUUGAUCUUGGACUUCCAGCCUCCAGAACUGUGAGAAAAUUAAUUUAUGUUGUCUAAGCCACACAGUCUGUAGUAUACUGUUACAGCAGCCUGAGCAGAUUAUGACAGAUGUCAAAGAGAACUUCAGCCUUAGCUGAUAUGUUAGCUGUAAUCUUUUAAUGUUUUAGAAUGAGAAUGUAUGUAUGUAUUACUCAUGUGACUAAAACAUUAACUUUUUAAAGUCAACUUUCUCUUCCCUCUUCCCCCAUAACCACCCUUUUCCCCUUUAUCUUCCUUUGAACAAUAUUAAUUAAGGCCUGUUGCAGACAUAUGCAUUCUGAGCCUUC
rnacentral:lncRNA from 1 species